UACGGGGGGAGCAAGCGUUGUCCGGAAUCAUUGGGCGUAAAGAGCGCGUAGGCGGUCCGGUAAGUCGGUUGUGAAAACUGGGGGCUCAACCCUCAGAGGCCGACCGAUACUGCCGGGCUAGAGUCCGGAAGAGGCGAGUGGAAUUCCUGGUGUAGCGGUGAAAUGCGCAGAUAUCAGGAGGAACACCAAUGGCGAAGGCAGCUCGCUGGGACGGUACUGACGCUGAGGAGCGAAAGCGUGGGGAGCAAACAGG
rnacentral:rRNA from 1 species